rnacentral:lncRNA from 10 species
GCAAUUCACCUUUUCUUUAAAUACUCAUGUCACAUUUGUGCUGUUGCCAAUGCUUCUCAGACCCUCCAGAUGAGGACAUUUCCCUGAGGAGGUGGCUAUGAUGGUAGAACUUACAAGACUUCAGUGGACAUAAGGAGACGGGGUCAAGGUGGCAGGCAAGAUGGUCAAAUAGAAGUAGCUUCAGUCUGCAGCUCCCAGUGAGAUCAACACAGAAGGAAACAAUGCCAAGAAUACGUUAAUCUAAACCCAUGAUGUUUCUACAUCUCAAAGAACAGAGAGAAAAGGAAACUGGAGAGAGGCCAGAAGUGACCAACUCUAUUCCCUCAUUUCUGUGUUAUACUCCCUUUGUCUAAUCUUCCCUACCCUACCAGGUGGUUUAAGAAUUUUAUCCUUUCUCCAGACUAGAAGAGGAAGUGGGGGCCGGAAUUAGGUGUAUACAAAUUGUUGGAAAGCCUUUGUGUGGAUUUGGAGGGCUGAAGUAGAGUAUCAUUUUUACAAAGCAGCCCAAGCCUCUAAUCUGAGCAGGAAGAUUCACACUCAUUCUCUGGCAUGAGUCCUAUCAGGAGGAUCAAUGAAGCCAAGGCUGUAGAAAUAAAUAAUUAAUCUCUCCACCCAAGGAGGCUAGUAAACAAUAUUCAAUACGUGAAUACUGAGUUCUGCCAAGAGGAAGAAGCAUAUAAACCAGGCAACUGCUGAACGCAUUGCCAAAAAGGGAGACUUACGCAUCAUUCACUAAAGCUUUCCAAAAACUAAAUCAGAUCCAAGAACAGAUAAACUCCUGCAGAAUGACAAUGGUGGAGAAAUUGACCUCCCAGCAUUGCAGACUUACAUCAGUUGUUCUGAUGUUCUUAGUUAUAUCAGAUUCCUUCCAGAAUCUUCUAAAUAUAUCAGACGGUCAGACACAACCCCAGGCCCUAAUAAAAAACCCUGAUGCUGGCCUACAGAUGUGCAAUUUAAUAAACUUUCUCCAUGAUUCUGGUACACAUCCAACAUAGAAGAACCACUUAGUACUUCUCUCUGGCUCAUAUUUCUUCCACUAUUUACUAAAUGUCGACCUUAGGCUAAUUUCUUAAAUCCGUGUCCAAGGGUUUCUUUAAAUGGAGAUAAUAUUACCUUAUCGUCAAUCUAUUGUAAGAAUUAGAUAAAAGGGUGCAUGCGAAGGACCAAGCAGUGUAGAUGUCACACUGUAAGUGCUUAAUACGUGUCUCAGCUUAUUAUUCUGCAAGAGAAGUUAACUACCUAAUAAAUUGUGUAGAUAUCAAGUGCCCCUCAUGGCACUUUAAUCAAAGAAAUCUGUUGUUAAUUCCUAUUGUAAACCUCAGUUGCUACAUCAGCCAGCUCUUCAAAGGGAUAAAUAUGACAUUAUUAUUUUCUAAAUGACUUUUAUUUUCUAAAUGCUCUUAGAGUGUUUGAUCCCCCGGAAGCUAUCAUCAUUAAUGAUUUCUCGAGUAUACUGAGAGUAAUGUUUAGGUGUAAAGGAAGUGAAAAGUAAACAUGAAUGCUUCUUUGCUCUUCAAAGAUGAAGGUUCUGAGAUCAAAGAGCCUGAGUGAUGUGACCACAUCCCUAAAGAUGGUGCCAAAUGCCGCCCUACUGAUAAGGCUGCUGUGGGGACCGUGCACCUGUGUUCUUCUCUUAAUACUUACUCUGGGUCUCUGUUGACAAGGAACAUUUUGAAGUUUCUAAGAAUUAUUUAAUAACCCUAAUAAUCAUUGUUUCUUUAGUGACUCAAGUCUACACCUGUAAUGCUCAGGUUUUUCUUUCUUUUUUCAAUCGGGGAACGUAUUUUUUUUUUCUUGUAGUCUCUUAAAUAACAGAUUAUAUAAUAAAAAAGAGAAACUUUCUCAAGAAGGAAGCUAUCUGCACUGCUCUGCUGAACUCUAAGCCACCUCUGCUACUAAAACAGAUAGUAGCCCCUGUUGGGGUCUCUGGAGCAGGGAAAUCCAAGCUGUCAUGGAGCAUGUAUUCAGUAACCAAAGAGGAUUCUACAAGUUUUGUUUUUCUGGCUAGGUGACUUCAGCCCAUCAAAGACAAAGAUGAAAUAAAAUAAUCUGAAUGAUCA